rnacentral:rRNA from 1 species
UACGUAGGGGGGCAAGCGUUGUCCGGAAUUAUUGGGCGUAAAGAGCGUGUAGGCGGUCCGGUAAGUCCGCUGUGAAAGUCCAGGGCUCAACCCUGGAAUGCCGGUGGAUACUGCCGGGCUAGAGUCCGGAAGAGGCGAGUGGAAUUCCUGGUGUAGCGGUGAAAUGCGCAGAUAUCAGGAGGAACACCGAUGGCGAAGGCAGCUCGCUGGGACGGUACUGACGCUGAGACGCGAAAGCGUGGGGAGCAAACAGG